UCCAUUGGUAAGUAUCUACUGAAUUAACCUCUUCUUUGUAGUAUCCGCCAUUUUACCACCACUCCUCCAGACCUCCCUCACUCCUCCCAUCCCUGGGUCUGGUAAGUGGUUUGUUAAUUAUUAUCCUCAUUAUAGGUACAGCUAUUGAAGACUAACCCAGGAUGUUUCAAGUUGUAUGGUAGUGUGUGUGUUAUAUCAUAUUAUACUAGCUCUAUUGUUUUAUGUAGGACAACCAGUCAGUAUUUCAAUGAUCCAUUCAUUCAUUAUUGGUACGUGUGUAUUAUUAUUAUGUACACUCUAUGUUUGUAGGUAAUAAAGUCCUGCCCUAAUCUUUAUACAUGAUAUUACUCAGUAUAUUAUUUCAAGUGUCGAUAUUACUCAGUAUAUUGUUUCAAGUCUCAUCAAUUGUACAGUAAAUAUGUGUUAUGUGGUAGUUAUGUCAUUUUGGUAAUAAAUGAAAAAUUUUACGUGUAUUCUUGUUAAUUUCCAGGAUAUUAUCAGUAUUCUAAAGAUGAAACUACCUACAGUACAUCAACUAUAUGGAUAUUAUUAGAAUAUUAGCACUGUAGCAGUUUCUUCAGAUCCUACUACAAUUCAUCCAGUGUGUGGUUCUCUAUUGGUUAAUGAUAUCCACACACCAUCAUGUACAUGUACAUCCUUAUCUGUAACAUGUAUUCUAUUCCCUUUCCUUAAGAUUGCUACAUAGACUCAAGCCAGCAUGCAGUCUUCUUCAGCAUCAAUUCACUCCAAGUCUUCAGUGUAUGGUAACAAUGUAUCUAUUGCAUGUUAUUAAUAACCUUGAUUACAGUGCUAAUAAUAAACGGCUCAUUUUAUCACUAUUCAUCCCAUUACAUGUAAUAAAGCACUGUCCCAUUGAUCUUUACUUAUUCUAUUGUUUAAACAUUUUUCUCUUUUUUAUUUCUACAGGGAUCAAGUUUAAAGUUGGUUGAGUGUGAGGUAGAGUGAGAGUUAAUAAUGUGUAAUUACGCAUGUUUAUAAUGUAUUUUAUGCAUGUACAAUAUAAUCCACACAUGUCCUUCCACCCCCCCCCCAACCUCUAGUAGGCCUCUGACUGUUCUGGACUGGACUGGACUUAGGAUCAAGUUUAAAGUUGGUUGAGUGUGAGGUAGCAUGAGAGUUAAUAAUGUAUAAUUACGCAUGCUUAUAAUGUAUUUUAUGCAUGUACAAUAUAAUCCACACAUGUUCUUCUUACCCCCCCACCCCCUCUAGUAGGUCUGACUGUUCUGGACUGGACCCUGAUAUUGCUCCACUGCUGCCUAGCCCAGUUCCUGCAUUAUGAAUUAGUAUUGGUUACAAAGGAAUGGGUUUGUUUGUUUUGUAAUGUAAGACGGUUUCAAUGAACUUUCCCUGUAGUGUUCCGUUACAUUAACCUGCCACUGUGGGUCUAAUUCGGGUAAUUCUAUAAGGUGCUAUUAUGUCAUUUGUAUUGGUGCUUAAAAUUGAAUAAACUUGACAGGCUGACAGCUAAGCAUGUAAUUGUACUCAUGUUAAAGAUAUUCAAUUUUAAGGCAGUUUCAAAUAUUUUACUUUCACAUCACAUCCUGUACGUAAGAUUCUGCAUCAUAUUCCUGAAUACAUGAUGUUCUCAGUUCAACAGUUCAGUUAAUGAGUUAUGUCUAACAUGCUUCCUUUUUAGAAUGAGGAUGGAACAAGGAUAAGUGCAUUAGAAUUAGGAUAAGUGUUGCAUAUCAACUUACAUUAUUGUUAGUAAGUGCGUGAACUCAUGACACAUUCCUACUGUUUCCCAUCCUGUCCAGUCACAUCCUUUCCUUUGACUGAUGUGGCAUGAUAUCAUCCUUAGGCUGUAAAUAUUCACAGCUGCAGACCUGCUAUAAAACCAGCUGGAACAACUCGGCAAUUUCAAAACAAGUUUAGUUAAGCAAACAUAAUGUGUGGACAGCCUUCAGCUCUGAAUCCUCUCAUUUCUCAAAAACUGAGGAAUCUUUUCGAAGGAGUUUCUAAGCUCCAGAGUUCGAUUCCAAAAGAUGUUGAUCUAAGAGGUACAGAUAUCUGUGUUGAUGACCUACAAGCAAUAUCAGUCCUACCUGAGACCCUGUACCAGUACUCACAGCUGUUGAAUAAUUUAUCAGAAGAAUGGGAUAAACUCCUGCUGACUAGUGAUGAUUUGGGUACAGUAACAUCUUAUGAUGGAAGUGUAUUCAACCCACAAGAAGUAUCACUAGUACUGGUGAUACACUGUAUUAUAUCAGAUAUGGAAAUGUUGUUAGCUGAUAUAAAUGAAUUACUGUCAGCUGCUCCAGUCAAUUACACUGAUUUCAUUAACAAUGUGUAUUUCCUCAUCGCUCUACCUCAGUUUCUCUGUCAGAUGACUCAAAAAGAAGAUUCAAGAGUUUUCCCAUCGCAAUCUAUUGAAAGUCAUCUGAAAACCAUGACACAAAAGCUACCGAACUUUUUCGAAAGACUUCAAAUUAAUACCAAUGUACAAUGAUAUUCAUUAGAUUUAUUAUAUCAAAGUUUGCAUUUGUAGUAUCUGUGGUUUGUGUUUUUUUGCUAA
rnacentral:misc_RNA from 1 species